AAAUGAAUAGACGGGAGCCCGCACAAGCAGUGGAGUAUGUGGUUUAAUUCGAUGCAACGCGAAGAACCUUACCGAAACUUGACAUCCUAAGAAUCCGGCUGUAAUGGCUGGAGUGCCCUUCGGGGAACUUAGAGACAGGUGGUGCAUGGUUGUCGUCAGCUCGUGUCGUGAGAUGUUGGGUUAAGUCCCGCAACGAGCGCAACCCUUAUCCUUAGUUGCUACGCAAGAGCACUCUGGGGAGACUGCCGUUGACAAAACGGAGGAAGGUGGGGAUGACGUCAAAUCAUCAUGCCCCUUACGUUUCGGGCUACACACGUACUACAAUGGCGCAAACAAAGGGAAGCGAAGCCGCGAGGCAGAGCAAAACCCAUAAAAGGCGUCCCAGUUCAGACUGCAGGCUGCAACUCGCCUGCACGAAGUUGGAAUUGCUAGUAAUCGCGGAUCAGCAUGCCGCGGUGAAUACGUUCCCGGGCUUUGUACACACCGCCCGU
rnacentral:rRNA from 1 species